CACGUAGGGCGCGAGCGUUGUCCGGAAUUAUUGGGCGUAAAGAGCUCGUAGGCGGCCUGUUGCGUCCGCUGUGAAAGCCCGGGGCUUAACCCCGGGUCUGCAGUGGAUACGGGCAGGCUAGAGGUAGGUAGGGGAGAAUGGAAUUCCCGGUGUAGCGGUGAAAUGCGCAGAUAUCGGGAGGAACACCGGUGGCGAAGGCGGGUCUCUGGGCAAUAACUGACGCUGAGGAGCGAAAGCGUGGGGAGCGAACAGG
rnacentral:rRNA from 1 species